AGAAGUACGUAGUUUGUCUAAUGUGAGUUUCUAAAGGAGAAAAUUGAGAUGGCUUUCAGGGCAUUUGGAGUUUGAAUUAGUUUAGACUUAGUCGAUAUUCUUAGGGCAUUAUGCUUUUUCGAGGUCCUUAUGCGCGAGCCCCCACAAGAGUGCCGACUGGAAAUAAUGUUUCUAUCGAUAAUAACUGUACAGAGUUUACUUUUUUGGUGUAUUUCCAGAAAAGUCACUGAAAGAUCUAUGAGGAUAGGAAUUAGGAAGGGAAAACAAAGGAGGUUAUGGAAAUUGUUCCUUUCUCGAAUUCCCCCCCCCCCCCCCCCCCCAAAAAAAAAAAAGAGUUGUGUGAUGGUGUUUUUUAACUGCGUUUUUUGAUAGGGAUAUUGAACUACAUUAGAUGAUAUUCAAUUCAUUAAAAAGUAAUUGGCUACGUUAGGCAGUAUUCAAAUUGUUGUAUUGCUCACUUAGACUAUUCAUGGCAAGAAAUAGCAUAGUUUCCAGUGCUAGAGCUGUGAAGAUAACUUUAUUGGUGCUUUCUUUUUAUAUGAAGUACCUAAGUAGUAUGUAUGAGGAAAGAAAAGCAAAAGGAAGUGAAAAGAUAGGGCUGCUGUGAUAUUGCCCAAAGAUUAUUUAUUGUGGGUGUCUGCUAGAUCAAAGUUAAUUUAUUUUCUCCAUUUUGGAAGAAGUUGACCUAAGUAAAUAUAAAGGCAGUGUGUGCAAAAGCACACUAUGGAGGUGAGGAGGGCAUGCCAUGAUCUAGUAUGAGGUAUAUUUAUCAUCCUAGUUGGCUUAAUCGAUAGAUGGGUCAAGUUGUACAAGUGCUGCUUAUUUUGAGAUUGGAAUUGACUGAGCAAACAUAAAUGCUGUUGUUUUUAGAGUAAUAUUUGACGGUAGAGCUUCCUAUGCAUUACUUAGAUUCUCACUUUUUAUACUCCACAUAUGUUGCUGAUGCUUUACUGCACAAAGACAAGACACAUCAUUAUCAGGCUGCCCAGCCUGAAGCGGUGCCUGUGCCAGUUUCGUCUUGGUACUCUUUUGCUGGUCUAUCAUUCCUACACCACUGACUGAAUUUGCAUCUUUAACAUACGUAUCCAUUUGUAUUUGGACUUCUGUUUAUUGGCACCUGAUGUGCAUAUGAGGCACUCUUCAGUUGCAUAAUGUAUGGAUGAGGGAACAGUUUUGGGUUCCAAAUUUGUACAGAACUGUGUAAGCGGCAUUUUGGUACC